GUUGUUGUUAAGGAACUCGGCAAAUUGACCCCGUAACUUCGGGAUAAGGGGAGCCUCCUACGGGAGGCCGCAGUGAAUAGGCCCAAGCAACUGUUUACCAAAAACACAGGUCUCUGCUAAAUCGAAAGAUGACGUAUAGGGGCUGACGCCUGCCCGGUGCCGGAAGGUUAAGAGGAGAGCUUAGCGCAAGCGAAGGUUCGAAUUGAAGCCCCGGUAAACGGCGGCCGUAACAAUAACGGUCCUAAGGUAGCGAAAUUCCUUGUCAGGUAAGUUCUGACCCGCACGAAUGGCGUAAUGAUUUGGGCACUGUCUCAACAGCCCGCCCGGCGAAAUUGUAGUACUGGUGAAGAUGCCAGUUACCCGCAACUAGACGGAAAGACCCCAUGGAGCUUUACUGUAGCCUAAUACUGAAGAUCGGUAAUGCAUGUACAGGAUAGGUGGGAGCCAGCGAAACCCGGGCGUCAGCUCGGAUGGAGGCAACCUUGGAAUACCACCCUUGUAUUGCUGGUUUUCUAACCUGCGGCCAUGAAUCUGGUCGGGGGACACUGUUAGGUGGGCAGUUUGACUGGGGCGGUCGCCUCCAAAAGCGUAACGGAGGCGCUCAAAGGUUGGCUCAGCACGGACGGAAAUCGUGCAUAGAGUGCAAACGCAUAAGCCAACUUGACUGCGAGACCGACGGGUCGAGCAGGUACGAAAGUAGGAGUUAGUGAUCCGGUGGUAUGUGAGUGGAAAUGCCAUCGCUCAACGGAUAAAAGCUACCCUGGGGAUAACAGGCUGAUCUCCCCCAAGCGUCCACAGCGACGGGGAGGUUUGGCACCUCGAUGUCGGCUCGUCACAUCCUGGGGCUGUAUUCGGUCCCAAGGGUUCGGCUGUUCGCCGAUUAAAGUGGCACGCGAGCUGGGUUCAGAACGUCGUGAGACAGUUCGGUCCCUAUCUGUUGCGGGCGCAGGAGAUUUGAAGGGAGCUGUCCUUAGUACGAGAGGACCGGGAUGGACAGACCUCUGGUGCACCAGUUGUCGUGCCAACGGCACAGCUGGGUAGCUACGUCUGGACGAGAUAAACGCUGAAAGCAUCUAAGUGUGAAACUCCCCCUAAGAUAAGAUCUCCCAUCCAUUAGGAGUAAGGGACGACAGAGACUAUGUCGUUGAUAGGUCGGAAGUGUAAGUGCAGUAAUGCAUUGAGCUGACCGAUACUAAUAACCCGAGGGCUUG
rnacentral:rRNA from 1 species